rnacentral:rRNA from 1 species
AGAACGAACGCUGGCGGCAGGCCUCAAACAUGCAAGUCUAGGGGGUGUAGCAAUACAUCACCGGCGGACGGGUGCGUAACACGUGGGAAUAUACCUUUUGGUUCGGAACAACGCAGGGAAACUUGCGCUAAUACCGAAUGUGCCCUUACGGGGAAAGAUUUAUCGCCAAAGGAUUAGCCCGCGUAGGAUUAGCUAGUUGGUGAGGUAAUGGCUCACCAAGGCUCCGAUCCUUAGCUGUUCUGAGAGGAAGAUCAGCCACACUGGGACUGAGACACGGCCCAGACUCCUACGGGAGGCAGCAGUUGGGAAUCUUGGACAAUGGGGGAAACCCUGAUCCAGCCAUGCCGCGUGAGUGAUGAAGGCCUUCGGGUUGUAAACUCGUUUCGACGGGGACGAUAAUGACGGUACCCGUAGAAGAGCUCCGGCUAACUUCGCGCCAGCAGCCGC